UACAGAGACUGCAAGCGUUAUUCGGAUUCACUGGGCGUAAAGGGUGCGCAGGCGGCCGUGUGUGUGAGGCGUGAAAGCCCGGGGCUUAACCCCGGAAUUGCACCUCAAACUACAUGGCUAGAGCAUUGGAGAGGGUAGCAGAAUUCAUGGUGUAGCAGUGAAAUGCGUAGGUAUCGUGAGGAACACCAGAGGCGAAGGCGGCUACCUGGACAAUUGCUGACGCUCAGGCACGAAAGCGUGGGGAGCAAAAGGG
rnacentral:rRNA from 1 species